GAUGGGCUUUUAUUUUUUAAGGGGGGAGGUCUUCAGGCAAUGGCAGCACCCCCUUUUUGCUGUCUACCAAGGAGAGCUGCAAGAGAAAGAAAGAGAGGGGAGCGAAAUUCCUGAAUGGAUAGACAGAUGCUACGUCAUCAGGGCUGCAGCCUCUACUCCACAAGAGGCUAGGAGCUGGGGGGGAGAGAAGCAGACCAGCCGUGGGGGCCUGAGAGACAGACACCUCCUCUUCACAGGAACUGGGCUUCGGACACCCCCCUGCGACCCCCCAGCCUCCGAAUUACAUGCCCGGUGUUGGGGGUGGGGCAUAGAGAAGGAGGGUUGGAGAACCCGACGCUGCAGAAGAGAAGCCAUCGACAGGAGAGGGAGCACAGAGGGAGAAGGAGAGGAGGGAGCCGGCAUCGUGGGGACCUGUCCGUCGUGGGUCCUUCAUUCAACCUGCCUGAUAAAUCGAAAUAUCAAGCCGGCACUCGUGAGCUCCUCGCUUCUUCGAGCCAGAUUCAUUCCUGGCUCGAGAUUGAGAUCAUAGAAACCUAAGAUCAGGAGCUGAAAGGGCCCUUUGAGAUCCUCUAGCUCAAUUCAUUAUUUUUACAGAAGAGGAAACUGGGAUUGGGGAUGAGAGUGGACGAAGGACUGCGAGAUGGACCAGAACUGGCUUCCUAUUUGAUUUGGUCUUGGCAUUCCUCUUCCUUCUCUUCAUUCUGCAGCACAACUCAGCACGUUUGAUAUUGGUAUUCAGCACAUUGGACAGCGCCAGGAUGAGAAUCAUCCCUGUAACAAAGAUUUUAAAAGGAAGAAGAGGAAUAAAAAUCAGUUAAUCAAAGCCAGCCUUCACAUCUGUUCUGACAUUAUGUGCAAUACUCCAUAUCCAUGGUAUUCUACUUCUACAAAAAAAAGGGAACAGAACAAUAAGAGGACUUAAAGGACAAGGGGCCAAUAGCAUACAGAGGGAGAAGCCUUAACACAAUUGGCCUCCAUGUACCUGAAGCAGCCUUCCAGGAUUGACUGGAGGACAGAUAACGCCAGCUACUAAUCCCAGGGAGAGAGAAAGUGAAGAGAUCUUCCUGUCACCCUCUCCACUGAUAUCCACCCUCCUCCAGGAAGUUUGUCAGGAUUCAUAGAGCAUCAGCCCUUGAAUUGCCUGGUUCCUGUCCGGGAUAAAAGUAUUUGACCUUCAUGUAUACUUAUU
rnacentral:lncRNA from 1 species